rnacentral:tRNA from 10 species
GCCCCGUUCGUCUAGCGGCCUAGGACGCCGCCCUCUCACGGCGGUAACACCGGUUCAAAUCCGGUACGGGGUA